GGAUGUAGCUCCGUGGUAAAGUGCUUGCCUACCAUGUACAAAGUCCUGGGUUUGAUCCCCAGCACUACA
rnacentral:tRNA from 1 species